GAGAAGGAUCAGUCACCUUGUCUAGUACUCUCACACUGACUACAGUUCUAGUCGUUCUAUCUCUUGAAUAUAAUCUUUUGUCUGUUAGUCAAAUAACCUCCUCUCUUGCUUGUACUGUAACUUUCUGACCCUCUUUUUGUGUCUUUCAGGAUAUUCUAACCAAGAAGAUUCUUGGUUAUAGUGUUAAACAGGGCAAACUCUAUUACUUAGAACUAACAGAGAAUAG
rnacentral:lncRNA from 1 species